rnacentral:rRNA from 1 species
AUGCCCCAGCUCGCCGCCUCCCCCGCGCCCGCCGCCUUCGCCGUCGCGGGCGGCGGGGGCCGCGCCGGGUUCCGGCCCCCGCCCCGCGCGGCGACGCGGGCGCGGGCGGCGGCGGCCGCCGCUUCCGGAGCCGCGAGCGCGUACACGGCGGUUCAGCAGCAGCCGACGUUCUACGACCUGCUGGGGAUCUCGGCGGAGGGGAGCAGCUUCGAGGACGUGCGGGCGGCCUACCGGCGGAUGGCGCGCAAGUACCACCCGGACGUGUCCCCGCCGGACGCCGCCAAGGAGCACACCCGCCGCUUCAUCCAGGUGCAGGAGGCCUACGAGACGCUCUCCGACCCCAGCCGCCGCACCACCUACGACCGCGCCCUCGCCCGCGGCGUCUGCCGCCUCGCCUUCUCCCCCGCCGCGCGGCGCCACGACGCCUCCGCCUUCUACCACCAGGAACAGGAAGAGAAGUCUGGCUGGAGGACAUCGUGGGAAGGCCAAAUAUCCGAGCUGAAGAAGCGGAGCACGGUGAAGGAUGCAGAAGAGAACCUAUCCUGGGGAGCUCAGAUGCGAAGAAGAAGGGCCGAACAAUUGUGA